AGAGUUUGAUCAUGGCUCAGGACGAACGCUGGCGGCGUGCCUAAUACAUGCAAGUCGAGCGAGCUUGCCUAGAUGAAUUUGGUGCUUGCACCAAAUGAAACUAGAUACAAGCGAGCGGCGGACGGGUGAGUAACACGUGGGUAACCUGCCCAAGAGACUGGGAUAACACCUGGAAACAGAUGCUAAUACCGGAUAACAACACUAGACGCAUGUCUAGAGUUUAAAAGAUGGUUCUGCUAUCACUCUUGGAUGGACCUGCGGUGCAUUAGCUAGUUGGUAAGGUAACGGCUUACCAAGGCAAUGAUGCAUAGCCGAGUUGAGAGACUGAUCGGCCACAUUGGGACCUGAGACACGGCCCAAACUCCUACGGGAGGCAGCAGGUAGGGAAUCUUCCACAAUGGACGCAAGUCUGAUGGAGCAACGCCGCGUGAGUGAAGAAGGGUUUCGGCUCGUAAAGCUCUGUUGGUAGUGAAGAAAGAUGAGAGGUAGUAACUGGCCUUUAUUUGACGGUAAUUACUUAGAAAGUCACGGCUAACUACGUGCCAGCAGCCGCGGUAAUACGUAGGUGGCAAGCGUUGUCCGGAUUUAUUGGGCGUAAAGCGAGUGCAGGCGGUUCAAUAAGUCUGAUGUGAAAGCCUUCGGCUCAACCGGAGAAUUGCAUCAGAAACUGUUGAACUUGAGUGCAGAAGAGGAGAGUGGAACUCCAUGUGUAGCGGUGGAAUGCGUAGAUAUAUGGAAGAACACCAGUGGCGAAGGCGGCUCUCUGGUCUGCAACUGACGCUGAGGCUCGAAAGCAUGGGUAGCGAACAGGAUUAGAUACCCUGGUAGUCCAUGCCGUAAACGAUGAGUGCUAAGUGUUGGGAGGUUUCCGCCUCUCAGUGCUGCAGCUAACGCAUUAAGCACUCCGCCUGGGGAGUACGACCGCAAGGUUGAAACUCAAAGGAAUUGACGGGGGCCCGCACAAG
rnacentral:rRNA from 1 species